CCUACGGGAGGCAGCAGUGGGGAAUCUUGCACAAUGGAGGAAACUCUGAUGCAGCGAUGCCGCGUGAGUGAAGAAGGCCUUUGGGUUGUAAAGCUCUUUCGUCGGGGAAGAAAAUGACUGUACCCGAAUAAGAAGGUCCGGCUAACUUCGUGCCAGCAGCCGCGGUAAUACGAAGGGACCUAGCGUAGUUCGGAAUUACUGGGCUUAAAGAGUUCGUAGGUGGUUGAAAAAGUUAGUGGUGAAAUCCCAGAGCUUAACUCUGGAACUGCCAUUAAAACUUUUCAGCUAGAGUAUGAUAGAGGAAAGCAGAAUUUCUAGUGUAGAGGUGAAAUUCGUAGAUAUUAGAAAGAAUACCAAUUGCGAAGGCAGCUUUCUGGAUCAUUACUGACACUGAGGAACGAAAGCAUGGGUAGCGAAGAGGAUUAGAUACCCUCGUAGUCCAUGCCGUAAACGAUGUGUGUUAGACGUUGGAAAUUUAUUUUCAGUGUCGCAGCGAAAGCGAUAAACACACCGCCUGGGGAGUACGACCGCAAGGUUAAAACUCAAAUGAAUUGACGG
rnacentral:rRNA from 1 species